AGAUUUUUUAUGGAUGUACCUUUGUACAUUGAGGUCAAGUUAAAUGUUGAGCUAUUUGAUGUUUUUAGAUGAAUUUGAUAUUUUUGAACUGUCUAAUGGUCACAGUUGUGCUUCUUUAAAUGUUGCGUGGAACCUAAAUGAAAAUGCUGUACUUCAGUGAGUUUGAUUCAGCCGCUAGUCGGUUACAGACUUUUGAAGCUGUUUAAAAUGUGGCAUAUAGUGCAGCAAGAGGGAAUUCAACAAUUGAACAAUUUAUAUUCCAGGUAAGGCUGUCUGUUAACUCAAAAGAUUAUCUCAAAGUGAACAGUAAUAAAACAUUCAUUAAAACAAUUUUACAAGAACAAAAACAAUUAUAAGACUGUGCUGUGAAUAAAAAACAUAAGUAAAAUGAGGUUAAUUGAGAACACACUAUUUAACCAGCUCAAUGUGAUUUUGUCCACCGUAAAGAUGAAGCACCGGUCUAGGACUAAACAAAAAACUCAAUGGAGUUUUCUAUUGAACUCGAUUUUUUUAGACUAGGCUUAGUCCAUGUCUGUGAAACCGGCCCUAUAUGUUUGGGUUGUUAAUGGUGCAUUUAACACUUUUUCAGACAAUGCACAUAAUUAUUUUUAGUAAUAAUGUACACUAAAAUGACAAAAAGAUAAUUUGAGUUAAAUGAUUAACUCUUGACAGCCCUAAUUCCAGGAUACUUUGUAUUGAUAAUACAAUUGAACUAUUUUGCACAUCUUUAAUGGCCAACAAAGACACUUCCAAUUUGACAUGAUAUAACUUGAAUCAAUUCAAUCUAAUUCAGUGAGUCCUACUACAUUCCAAUUCCUGUGAGAAAGGUCAGGGCCACUCCAUGUUUUAUUUUUUAUACUCAGGGUAAACUAUACAUCCCCCAAGAAUGUGUCUGCAGUAUAAAUUAUUUAUUACAUUGUUCAUUGUGAAAGAUUUAUAAUGGUUUAUAUUGAAGAGAAGUUUUGUCAGCUCAUUUGUAUUAUUUAUUCAAAUCUGAUCAUAUGUGUAUGAAAUAUGUGAUACUGUAAGGGCAGUGUGUAUUUAUGGUUAUUUAAUUUGCUCUACAUAUUAUUUUACUUUAUUAAAACUUCU
ensembl:lncRNA